rnacentral:rRNA from 1 species
GAUGAACGCUGGCGGCGUGCCUAAUACAUGCAAGUCGAGCGAACAGAUGAGGAGCUUGCUCCUCUGACGUUAGCGGCGGACGGGUGAGUAACACGUGGAUAACCUACCUAUAAGACUGGGAUAACUUCGGGAAACCGGAGCUAAUACCGGAUAAUAUAUUGAACCGCAUGGUUCAAUAGUGAAAGACGGCUUUGCUGUCACUUAUAGAUGGAUCCGCGCCGUAUUAGCUAGUUGGUAAGGUAACGGCUUACCAAGGCAACGAUGCGUAGCCGACCUGAUAGGGUGAUCGGCGACACGGGAGCUGAGACACGGUCCAGACUCCUACGGGAGGCAGCAGUAGGGAAUCUUCCGCAAUGGGCGAGAGCCUGACGGAGCGACGCCGCGUGAGUUAUGAAGGUCUUCGGAUCGUAAAACUCUGUUAUGAGGGAAGAACAGAUGUGUAAGUAACUGUGCACGUCUUGACGGUACCUGAUCAGAAAGCCACGGCUAACUACGUG